rnacentral:lncRNA from 14 species
CCCACACCCCCCGUCCCCACCGCUCCUCAUACGGGCGGGACGCGGUGCCCGGGCCCGCCCCGGCCCUGCCCCGGCCCCGCCGUGCACGGGCAGAGGAAGGAGCGGGGCCGAUCCCCGGCACCGCCCGUCCCCGGUGCGCCCCCCCCGCUUUGGGUGCCCCGGACCCGGUAAUGGAUGAGGGGGGGGCUCCCCCGGUCCCUGCGAUGGGAGCUGUGGGAUGCAGCCACCACCUGCACAUCCCUAUGAGCUGGGUCCUGCCCGAGCGCACCGGGGCACGGCACAGGGUGUGAGACCCUUCGGGCUGUGCCGGGACCCACAUCCUCUGGCACCCACAUCCCCGCUCUGCUGCUGCGGCACCGGUGACCCCUUCACACCGCGCUCGGCCACCGGCAGCACCGGGGCCUGCAGGGAGGCAGGAGCUGCGGAGCUUUGUCCCCAGGCAGCACCGGGCAUCCCAUGGGAGUCAGGGAUGGCAGGGCCCGGAGCUGCCCCUGCCAGCACCCAGCAGCCCCAAGGGGUGCCAGGAUGGCACGUGGGGCUCUGCUGUGGUGUGUGGCUGCCUCCCAUGGCACUUGGAUACCCAGCAUGGUGCACGGGGCUGAGCCAUGCCAUGACACUGGCAGCAGUGGGGGUGACGCAGCCCAGGGUACCCCAGGAUGAAGCUGGGGACCUCAGACAUGAGAAUGGGCCCAGGCUGCGGGAUCUGAUGUUGUCCGUGGCCAGGGUGGCAUCCAUGGGUGCACAGCGGCAGCUGUGGGGUGUCAGUGCUAUCAGUGGGUGCAUGGCAGUGCUGGAGCUGAGAAUGAGAGCUUUUGGGUUGCCUGGUGCUGUCUCUGUGGUGCUGUGGCACUGCCAGGGUGCAGGGUGCUGUUAUGGGGUGCAGGUUGCUGUCUAUAGGGUGCAGGGUGCUAUGUGCAGGGUGCUGGGUGUCGCUCCAGCACCACGGCCCAUCCACAGGCGCAAUGGGCAGGGGGUGCUGAUGGCUGCAGGAUGCUGAUGCCAGGAUGGGACCGGGGUGGGUGCGAUGGAGCCGCGGUGCUGCUGGGGGUGUGCGGGGCUCAGGGACCCCCUGUGCUGUGGGUGCCAUCGGUGGGUGCCAUCAGUGGGUGCUGUGGGUGCCAUCGGUGGGUGCUGUGGGUGCCGUCGGUGGGGUACACGUGCUGCCCGCG